GGUCCUCUAGGCUCAGUGUUAAAUGUUACUUCUUCUAGGAAGCCUUUCCAGACCAUCCACCUCUAGUCUGGGUUGGCUGCUUUUGCUUUGUGCUCCAUGGCACUCUCUAGGUUCCUUUACCCACUAUCCUGUAAUUGCUUGUUUCACUGUCCAGAAUCGCUCAUAAACUCCAUGAGGGCAGGACUUGCAUUUAUGUUUGUCACUACUAUAUCCCCAGAGCCCGGCACAAUGCUUGGUGAGUGUUUUGGUAAUGACUGAAUGUGGAAAGGAAUGGUUUCUAGGGAAACAUGAUGAUCCAGCUCUGUCGGAGGCACGGAGGCACAGUCAAAUCUCAUGCUGUACAUUGAUCACCUGUCCAACCUUUGCCUAGAGUGGGAGCCCCCAGUUCCUUCAAGAGAUCCAACUUUACCUGUCUGUAAAGAAGAAGAGGAGGAGGGAGACAGCAGGGAGGAUCCGGUGGCAGUUUAACACCAGAGCAGGUCCAAUGUUUACUCUUACCCUUUUGGAGGUGGGUAACUGCAAAUGCCAUGGGAGCUGGGUUUCAGAUACUCUGAAUAAUGAUCUCAGAUUUGGGGGCUCACAUGUGCUUUGUGUUUUGCUAGAGUAUAGAGGUUGCUGUUUUCAUGUUUAAUUCAUAGCCAGACUGUUCCGUGAUUCCCAUUAGAAUAAAACAAGAAUCCAGGUUCAUCAUUAACAUGAUGUCUGUGGUCCAUUGGCCUUGAGUUUUUUGUGUCUUGCUGUGUGGACAGAGUAGAGUUCAUUCAUUGGUUCCUAUUUCAUGAUUAUUAUAUUUAUCAUUUGCUUUUCAAGGUCUGUGACUUUCAACAGCCUUUCUUAUUUUGAAACUCUGAAUUUUGAUGUUUUGAAUCCCUCCCUCCUUGGUCAUUCUCUUAGACCAUGAGAUUCCGAAUAACUACUGAACAGACAAGAUUUCAUUUAGGGCUACCCCUUGGUGUGUAAGUCUAGUUCUACACAAUCCUGGGCUAUGUCUAGCCAGCCUUUUCCCUAAGCAGAAUAUGACUCUAUGACCUUGUAGGCCUCAGGCAAAAAGGCUUCCUAGUGAACCUCUACCCACCCCCCAAUACCCCAGACCAUCCCUAAGUGUGGACUGCAUGUUGUUGGUUGGGCCAUGAUAGGAACUUCUGAGUGGAUGGAUGUAUGCACAUGGAAACCGCAGCCUCACAUGUAGAGGGGCAGAGUAAACCCUCACACCCUGGGUGCUUCUUGCUUAGUGGUUUGUGCCAACAGUCCUAGGUCUGAAGCAUAUUCUUCCUCAACCUCUUCUUAUAGUCGCUGUUUUCACCAAAUGCUGUGUAUGUGCUUUGGGCCAGGGUUAGCUUUAUUCCUGAAUCCAAGGAAAGUUUAGUUUAAUUUUCAGUUUUGGAAUAGCACCAACAGAUGCCUCACCGCUUCAUAUCCUUUAUAGACUGAGCAGAUAAUUACUGCCUACACAAAUAAAUCACAUACUUUUGCAAAAAAAAAAAAAAAUCUUUGAAUGACAUUUGAUUUAUAAUUAAACUUGGCGAUGCGGUCUCUGAAGUGUCUCAUCUUGUCUAAUCACAAUGAUCUAUUUCCUUUCAGAGUAAUUAUGGAUAUAGGGGUUAGUCCUCUUGUUAUCACCUUAUAAUAUGGUGAAGGGAAUAAUUUAAUAAAAGAAAAAGAAAAAUUAGAAUAAAUGAUUGUCGGUUUGGGUCAAACUCAAACCACUGGUUGUUUCUAUUUGUUUUGUUUGAAAAAUAUUUUUAUGUCCCUUCUUUGACUGAUAUAUUCAGUAAACAGAUUUAAAUAUUGGCAUCUAAUUGCCCUGCCUGGACCAGCAACCUGCUUCCCAGACCAAGGAACUUGUUAGAAAUGUACAGCCUUAGGCCCCACCCAGACCUACUGAGUUAGAAACUCUGCAGGUGGGGUCCAGCACAGUGCGUUUGAAUGAGCUUCCUGGUGAUUCUUCUGCACGCAAAAGUUUGAGAACUUUUGGUUUAAAACUUAUGUAAGUGCAUGAGAUGUGGGUAUUAAUAGGAGUUUACGUCUAGACCUUUCAUCCAGGAGCUCAUGAUCAAGUCAUCGGCACAAAGCAUAAAUUCAUCAGACAGGCAGAAUGAUCUUUAUAAAAUGUAAAUUACAUCAUACACUCACUUCCUAAGUCCCUCCAGGCAUUUCUCUUUGUACCCAAAAUAAAUAGAAAUCCUUGGCUAAGGCCUUGAAGGUCUGACAUGCUCCCUCUCCUGUCUACCUGCCCAGCUCAUCUGGUGCUACUCCCACCCUCCCUGAGUGCUCUCUCACUGGUCUUCUUUCUGGUCCUCAAACUUGCCCUGGUCCUGUGCUGUCAGCAGGAAUGUAGAGGAAGAGGGAGGAAGAGAGAAUUACAAAGGUUAAAAAACAGACUUGGUUACCAAAGUGUUAUUUGGCACAAUAUUUCUAAACCAAUGUCCCCGCUGGUUAAUAUAUUAAUAUGCUGAUACUUAGAUACAUUGACUCAAUAGUAUGCUAAAGUGAUAAUACUACUUGUGGCCCCAUCUUAUAGUGGAGUAGGGUCUGAAAGGACUCUGCAUCAUUAAGGAAAUAUUCAGUGUAGUUUAGUGUAACCGUAGUGUCAAGUAUUUGUAUCAAUUUCUCUUUCUGUGAGUUGGCUGGGCAGGCACAGUGCUCAGCCACAUACCACACAUGGGAGCUGAAUAAACGUGAAGAUACCAGAUGCUAAAUAUGAAAUCAUCUGUGUGGCACCAGAACAUUGGUGGAACCAAUGUGUGCAUCUUGCUGUCUUAGCAUAGUUUUAGGAAAGAGUGUGAUCAUGUUUGUUAGGUUUUAUCUUUGUAAAAAAUUAUCUGUGAAUGCCAAUUUUGAUCUGUGGGAUAUUAAAUGUACCAUGUGAUUUGGGAACAAAGCAGCUGUUUAAAUUUUUAUUGAAUGUGAAAAAAAUGGUCUCUCAAGACUCUCUCCAUAACAAGAAAGCAGAAACAUAUAUUUUAAAUAUGAUUUGUCAAAAAAAAAAUCUCAAAACUUAAAUUUGAGGCAAAGGAAUUCUUUUUUUUUUUGUCUUUUUGCUAUUUCUUUUGGCCUCUCCCGCGGCAUAUGGAGGUUCCCAGGCUAGGGGUCGAAUCAGAGCUGUAGCCACUGGCCUACGCCAGAGCCACAGCAACACAGGAUCCGAACCAUGUCUGCAACCUACACCACAGCUCACGGCGAUGCCGGAUCCUUAACCCACUGAGCAAGGGCAGGGACCGAACCCGCAACCUCAUGGUUCCUAGUCGGAUUCGUUAACCACUGUGCCACGACGGGAACUCCGAGGCAAAGGAAUUCUUAAAGAUUUAGGACUACUAGAGCCAAGAACAGGGCCAAUUGUUUUUUUGUUUUGUUUUGUUUUGUUUUGUUUGUUUUUGUCUUGAUUUUGUUUUCACUCUCUACAGCUUUCACAGUAACACGCUAAUUUAUUUUAUAAAUGUAGCAUCUCUGGUUUGGGGCAUUACUUGCUUUUAAGGGAGCUUGUCAUUUUAGAUCUUUGGAAGAAGAGGAAAAGGUUGGUUGGAGGAGCCAGCAAAAAGAGUGGGUGGUGGAGGUAUGCCUGGUCCUGGUGGCCUUUCAUCUUCAUCUUGACUUCUAAAGUUUAAGGUUCUUCCAGGAAACAGGCAAGCUUCCUCACUGUGUAAGUUCCCUGGCCAGGAAGCCCUUCCUAUUGAAAGGCAAAGCUAGUCUGCUGUAGGUGACUGGGGAUGCACCAUGAAUGCCCUCACCCUGUCCUCAUGGAACCACAGCCCAGCAAAUAUCUAUAUGAAUAAAGGUGCAUCUUCACACUUUGAAAGGCAGUGUGUGGGAUGAGGCUAUGAGAACAGAGAAGGAGGCCCUCGCUUCUUUUUGGAUACACAGUUGAAGCUGAGAAUCGAAGGAUGAUCGGUUGUUCAUUCAGUUGUGUUGUGAGGUUGGGAAUGAGGAGGAGUGUCCUUGGGGAGCUGGGACUCUGCCUAGAGGCUGCCACAGCAGAGAAUCUUCUGAGCAACCAUAUGGGUGAAAACACCCAAAGACUCACUGCAGAGUGAACCCCAGGGGAGAACAUCUUGCCUCAGAGACUGAGAUUUCCCAGUGUCCACCAACAGUCCCAAUACCACUGUGCCCAGGUAUGAGGCCAGCACCUCAGCAUUUAUUUCUCUUCCUUUUGUUGGCUUCUCCAACUCUCUCAGAGCCUCUAUUCUGAGAUUCUUCCUUUUGGGAGCAGCCCCUGCUUAUCUCCUCCUUAAGAACAAAGCUUCCUGGAGGGAACAUUUACCAUACCCUCCAAGCUUCUUGAGUGGCUUUUAGGGAGGCAUUUUAAGCAUCUUCAGAGAAUCUUACUGGUUAUGGCCAACAGCUCCUAGGAGUAGGGAACUAUCCACACCCACUGCCUUCUUGACCCAGAGUCAUUAUUAACUGUCCCAUCCAUUCUAAGCAGGACACAGUUGGAGGGCAGAUUCUCUUUCUGGUUUUGUCUGCUGCCUAAUAAGCUAACUUUACUUAGAUCUGGCAUUCAGAAAUUGCUGACAAAUGAAAGAAGAGAUUGUACAAAUCCAAAUGGCUGUGCAUUGCUGAGGCUUGAUUUUAGGAGUAUGAAAUAAAAUUGCUAUCUGCUUCAUUCAUUUCAUCCACCCAUCCAAAAGCAGUUUUGAGGACUUCCUGUGUAAUUGUGCAGCCGAAACACAGUGCCUGGCACAUGGUGUGUUUAUGGGUGAUACUGGCUAUCGUAGAGGAAAUGCAAAGCUAACUCUGACUUCUGAAUCCCUUUGUGAUUUUGUCCCACUUGAGUUUUGCGAGAGCCCCAGCUGUUCCUCUUCCUGUCAUUUAGCAAUAACAGUCCAAGGUCCCAGCCUCUGAAGGUGUCUGCUUCUCCUCAGGGAAGCAGAGCUUGGCCAUAGGAGAGAACUUGUGGCACGAGUUCUGAUUUUAGAGUGCCGAAGGACAGCUCACUUGUUGUCUGUGCAGCGCCUGGGUGAGCACAAAAUGACAAGGAGUGGUUAAACUUCAGGGAGGUCUGGGUAGCUUUAAAAAGUAG
ensembl:lncRNA